CUGUAGUUCAGACUUGUCUGUUUACAAUAAAAUAUAGGUCUCAUGUACAAAUAAGAGUUAUGAUACAUUUAUCCAACUUAUUCGUAGUUUCUGCGCACUAUUUCAUUACGUUUCAAUUUGCAGGCCUUUCUCUCUUUCUGUGAGGGAUGUGAAGUUGAUAUUCACUUGUGCUUUGAGAAAGCUGGCGAGUAAGGAGGCCCAAACCUAUUUCCCAACCUCAACUUAAAACUUAGAAGAUGUUCCGUCACCACGGGCUCCAUUCAUGCGACUUGACUCGUACCACUGGUCCAAACCAGUGGUAAGCUCUGCUUCACUUUCCCCCCCUCGUUGUCCGCCAUCAAUCCGUCCCUGUCUGCACCCUCUGAUUCCAUGACUAAUUUAAGGAGAACCUAUGUUGGACAGGGAGCCUGGUAUAUAUUCUUAUUUCCCAGUUACACUCCGAGGCUCUGUACAAUUACCCUCCUACUCUUCACGUUGAUAACCCUGUCAAGCAUCAAAUUCAUUUCAUUACACGGCUACUUCUGAUGUCAUUGACAUGAGCCGGUCUACGUAGAAUCAGGAGAAGGGGCCAACUAAUUUUUCAUUUUCUGGGCCUCCUUUCUUGAAUGAACAAAGUGGCCAUGGCUUAAUGGUCAGGAAAUCAAAUGCAGUCUGUUCCUUCCGGACUUUUCCAUUGCUUCAGCACCUUCGGGCAAGUUAUGUGUCAACUUUCUGCAAGUAGAAAACUGUCUCUUUUGGGUAUACAUCAAGUGCCUAAAUUUUUGAAACAACAGGUCAAGCUUGGACCCUUGGUUUUUAAACAUCCUGAAACUCCUCCUUAAAUAUCUCUCAAGUCCAUUUUGGCACACAAUGGACGUUACUAGCCGCUGAUGAAGGGCUUGACACUUUUAUUUAGUUUCUCAAGGAUUGUUCCCGUUAACUAGGUUCCGGUUGUGAGAGUCCCAGGAGUCUCUCAAUCGCAAAUACUUUUUUUCCCCUCUACUUUAAUAGAUAUUUAAAAUUAUAGUGAACCAUAAUCCAAUGUCGAAAUACCAUGUUAAAGAGUUAAAACUCUAAAGUACCGACAUCUAUAACAAUGCAUGGGUGCCAAGAUGACAAGAACAAUAAACUUAAUGCCUAUUGGAGAUGAAAAUAUACUCCAAAAGAGCAUACUUAAUAC